GUUUAAAUUAUGUCUUACACCCAGAGUGAGAGAGUACAUCACUUCCAGCACAUCUCCUUGCUGAGGGUGGCGUUGAUCAUGCACUGCUUCUAGUGGGGCUCGAUUCGCUGUAGUCUUUACAACUGUACGCGUGCGCUCGGAUCACACUGGCACAGGAUGUCCAUGCACCGGGUGGCCUGUGUGAAGCAGUCCUGUUGGACUGGAAAACAAAGAGAUUUGUCUGGAUCUUUCUCUUCUGUCAUGGUAGAUGAGCUACAUUUUAUGGUAAAUACAGGGCCAAUUCUCUCUCACCGGAAAAUGGCAGGUGUGAUGAUUCAUUUUAUUUUUUAUAUCGGUUUGAUUGCGGGGAGGCACUGAUAAUGUCUGCAGUUUUCGGUUUGGCUAUUUGUUUCAAGUGUAUUAGUCUAUAAAUAAAUCUCUUUGUCAAAAUUCGUCAUCUCUGCCAUGUCUUAUUCGACGAGUAGUUGUUCAGAAAUGUUUAUUGUUUGCCUACAUUUUACUCCCUCCUCUAUGUUUAAUAUAACAC